rnacentral:lncRNA from 1 species
CUUGCACUUGAUUUGGCAUAACAGCUUGGGGUUGACCCAUGUUCCCAACUUUAGGUUGAGGAGCAGUCUUUCUUCUAGUUUGAUGAACCCCAACUUGACCGCCACCCCGGGUAGUACCACGUCCAGCAGAUGAGGGUGUGCGUGUCCUGACCAUCUGUGAAAGAAAUAUUCCAAAGUCAAUCUCAAGUUAUCUCAACGCACGAUCAAAGAAUGAAAGAAGGGAAAACAUUCCUAGAUGUUCAGAAGCUUCAAGAUCAUAAGUAAUCGACUAAACAUUGCUUCAUGGCUCGGGACUUAAAGCCUAAUCUCUGAUACCAACUUUGUCACGACCCAUUUUAGGAUCGUGACCGGCACUUAGGAGCAAGUGCUCCCAAGUAAGCCUCAUCGGAAAUUUUUACAGAAAAUCGGACAGAGUUUCCCCUGUUUUGGACCAUCCCAAAAAAUUUUCCUGUCUCAUAUUCAGCAACCAAACAUUCUAAUAGCAAUUCAAAUGACAAUGACUUAAUUAAUUAACCAAAAUAAAUAUCUACCUUUAACAUUCCACCCACUAACAACUAGAAAUACUAAUUUAUCUCCAAAUUUGAUAAGAAUGAGCGUUACUCAACAUAAGUCUAUUAUAACAAAGACUACUCAAGACACUAAAAGGAUGACCAUGGAGCGACUCUAAGAGUUCAAAGAAAAGACCAUAACAAUUGAUAAAAUUUUCGCUCACGCGAACCAGUGCGAAGCUCACCAAGAAUUAUCAACUUGUGCGCUCUAAUUAACGAAAUCCUCGCCCGCGUCAACUGCUGUCUCUGUAAAAAAAAUUAACAGAGAAUGAGUCGCUAGCUCAGUGAGUAAUAACACUUAAUCAUAACCGUUUUUAUUGGGGACAAGUCAGAAAACAUGCUAGUAUAUUAAACAUAAAUUAUCAUAAAAAUGCCCCUUUCAGAAACAAUAAAUAAUUUUCAGUCUCAUCAUGUUUUCUUGUAGUAUAAUACGAUUGACAAUUCUGUAAUAAGCUCGGUAACCAUUGUAUAUCAAUAUUCAUAUUUUGGGAGGUUUCAAUGAGCGGAUCAUGUAAUCGGUAUAGCUGUGGACUUCUUCGCAAGAAGUCAAAUAUAACGGUAGUCCCUACUCAAGGAAAAUCGGUAACGGUAUGCUAGUUCUACCUUCCCACUAGCGAGGGCUAUAACGUUAAUCUGUAAUUACAAGGUGCACCAGGUUUAACGAACCGUCGUUAGCUACGAGAUCCUUCAAUGUCUACUCCCAUUUAUACUUGUCUUUAUAAUCUGUAUAUACUCGUAGAAAAUAUUUUAAAUCAAUAUAGGGUAUUUUGGUUCUUAUCAAAUCAUAUAAUUUCAUUUCGGUAACAGUAAAUCAAGUAACGGUAAAACAGUUUGACAACGGAAAUAUUUAAAAACAACGGUAAUCUUCUCAAAUAACUAUUUCGGUAUCAUAUCGAGUAAAAGACUUGUCCCACAUGCAACUCAAAAUAAUCAGUAACAUAUUCAUAUUAAAAAUCAUGUGUAAAUCAUGCAAAUUAUGAAAACACAAAUUGCAGUAAGAUUUCUACUUACAGUACUCGUGCCGAAAUACCAAAUGCUUCACCUCGAACAAUUCGUACAAAUUCCUCCAAUCAAUCUAUAAUUACAUAAUAUCGAUCUCAUGUUAAUUUUCUUAUUUAGGCUAAUUCAUAGUUAUUUUAGAAAACCCAAUCAUCGGAGUUCAUGUUUGAGUCUUAAUUUGUGGAUUUAUAUUUAUUUAUGCUAUGAAUAAUUUAAAUUAGUCCAAAAAUCUCAUAAAUAAAAAGGUAUUUAUAUUUAAUCAUAGAACUAGUCCAUAAUUCUAUCAAUUUCAAAUUAUUUAGUAUAAUUUAUUCCUCUAGAAGUAGACCUAUAGGUGCUUAAACCAAACCCUCAUAGUCUUGUUAUCUCCAUAGUAAUUGUAUAUUUCUUUUUAUAUAAAAGAAAGUUGAUAUUGAAUUCCUUUGUACCACAUAAAAUUGCAUAAAUACAGUGAAAUAAUUCAACAGAUGAGGAGAAGAAGUUAACCUCUUGAGUCGAAGGAU